rnacentral:hammerhead_ribozyme from 1 species
GUACUGCCGAAGAGUCCCAAACUAGAACUAAACAGCUGUCCUGUAC